rnacentral:rRNA from 1 species
GAUGAACGCUGGCGGUAUGCUUAACACAUGCAAGUCGAACGGACUCUUCGGAGUUAGUGGCGGACGGGUGAGUAACGCGUGAGAAUCUGGCUUUGGGUUCGGGACAACCACUGGAAACGGUGGCUAAUACCGGAUGUGCCGAGAGGUAAAAGAGAAAUUGCCUGAAGAUGAGCUCGCGUCCGAUUAGCUAGUUGGUGAGGUAAAGGCUCACCAAGGCAGCGAUCAGUAGCUGGUCUGAGAGGAUGACCAGCCACACUGGGACUGAGACACGGCCCAGACUCCUACGGGAGGCAGCAGUGGAGAAUUUUCCGCAAUGGGCGAAAGCCUGACGGAGCAAUACCGCGUGAGGGAAGAAGGCUCUUGGGUUGUAAACCUCUUUUCUUAGGGAAGAACAAAAUGACGGUACCUAAGGAAUCAGCAUCGGCUAACUCCGUG